rnacentral:rRNA from 1 species
UACGGAGGGGGCUAGCGUUGUUCGGAAUUACUGGGCGUAAAGCGCACGUAGGCGGCUUUGUAAGUUAGAGGUGAAAGCCCAGGGCUUAACCCUGGAAUUGCCUUUAAGACUGCAUCGCUAGAAUCGUGGAGAGGUGAGUGGAAUUCCGAGUGUAGAGGUGAAAUUCGUUAGAUAUUCGGAAGAACACCAGUGGCGAAGGCGACUCACUGGACACGUAUUGAC